rnacentral:lncRNA from 1 species
UGAAACUCUAGUGAAGUUUAGAGAAAGUUGUGAGUGUUGACUCUUCUUCUCUCUUUAGUCUCAUCUUGUGAGCUCUUGGGACUCUCAAGUGGCGGCACCACCACUCAUCUUGGAAGCAACCACCCUCCAAGUGGCGUGAAGAUCAUCCCUUGAUCAACAACCACAUAAGUCUUUCUUUCCAUCUCCUUUUUCUUCCGUUUUGUGUUCUUUGUUGGUUUCCCUAUUCCUUGUUCGCUGCAAU